rnacentral:siRNA from 1 species
CGUUCUAUUGUCGGCAGCCUCCA